GGGUUGAAUAAAAAUUGCCAGGUGGAGGUUGUCAGGGGGAAGGUGUUAAAUGGAAACACUAUAUAUAAACUGCAUGCUUUUUGCAAGGGACUGUGGCUUUCCUGCCCAGCCUGCCACCGCUGAACUGUAUAUAAGGUGGUUCUUCUCUUCAGCCCACUGUCAGUGGGCUCCCUCCCCCGUAUGUAAGCCCCCAGCAAACUCCAUUUCUUGUUUGCUGGCUCAGAGCCUCUUCUUUGGCCUCUUAAAAUAGGGGUUCGGCAUGACACCAUUGUGUGCAUAGAGGAGGCACGCGGAGGAGAGCGAACAGACUCCCAAAGUAAAACUUCAUCUACUCCUGAAUUUUGCCUGGACCCCACUCGGGUGGCCACAGGCGUGGAUUCGCAGUUGCGCUAUCUGCAUUGGAGCCCAUCUGCUGCUUUUCCUUGGACAAUGGCUGCCCGUUUAGGGUUGUGACCCAGGAGUCGCUGUGGUUAUCAACUGCGAGAGCUCAAACGGACACAUGAGAAGCAGCUUUGUUUAGCGUCCUUGACAUAACUAACCACAUAUUAACAACAGAGCCUUGUGGUAUAGAGGCUCCUGUUUGUUCAGAAUCUUAAUAGGUGGGCUUUGUGCACAUGGAUUUCUAAUACUGCUUACCCUGUAUUUUAAGUCAAAGAGGGUCUUUGUGUGAAGGAUUCUCCACCUCCUUUUCCCUUUCUACGAAGGAGAAAUAGGAAUGGCUCACUAGCCUGACACAAAGACCAAAAACUGGGGGCACUGUUCUCCUGAAAGACUAUGCAAGUGUGUGGAAGCUGUGUGCCUUUGGGAACUGGCUCUCUGAGGGCAGGGGAGAUGGUGCCCCCACGGCCCUGCUCUGGCAAGCCGGGGCUGGCCAUCCAGCAGCAUUGUGGAGCAGCAGCCUGGGAAGGCAUUGACAUUUUUGCACGUGGUGUUGAUGGUGGAGGUGGGGAGAGGUGUCCUGUGAAGCCAACUUAACGUGUGACUAUGGUCUCACUUGGAAAAAGUCUUUGCAGAUGUAAUUAAGUUGAAGUUCUCAAGAUGAGAUCAUCCUUGAUUAUCCAGUUGGUUCUAAAUCCAAUAACAAUCAUCUUCAUAAGAGACAGAAGGGAAGACAUAGAUGGGAAGCAGUAGAGCAUGUGAAGAUGGAUGCAGAGAUUACAGUGAUGCUGCCACAAGCCAAGGAACGUCU
rnacentral:lncRNA from 1 species